CUCUAGCCCCGACAGCAGCGAAAAUCCUCUUGUCCUGGGGUUCAGGACAAGAGAUUGCAGCGAAUGGCGGGACUAUGU
rnacentral:sRNA from 1 species